ACAAGAGCUUGUUUGAAUAGUGUCACUUGAUGAUAUUUAGAUCAGUUAUUUUUGUUUAUUUUAUUUUGAUCUUUUCUUUAACUUUGUUUAUUGUUAAUUUUCAUUUGUUUCAAGCAGUUUGCUUCAUUAUUUGUUGAUAAUAGUCAUUGCAAAUGUUUUUUCUUUCCUGUUGAUUUUUAAUAGCUGCUGUCUUUUAUAAUAUUUAUUUCCUUUGUUUUGAAGUUGAGUUGUGCUAACCCAUUGACAUUCUUUUGAUUUUAUUUUUGGAUUGAAUAGUUUGAAUAGUUGUUUGAUUCUGGGCUG
rnacentral:sRNA from 1 species